CCUACGGGAGGCAGCAGUGGGGAAUUGUUCGCAAUGGGCGCAAGCCUGACGACGCAACGCCGCGUGGAGGAUGAAGACCUUCGGGUCGUAAACUCCUUUCGAUCGAGACGAAUGUUUUCCGGGUGGACAAUCCGGAAAAGUGACGGUACCGAGAGAAGAAGCCCCGGCUAACUCUGUGCCAGCAGCCGCGGUAAUACAGGGGGGGCAAGCGUUGUUCGGAAUUACUGGGCGUAAAGGGCUUGUAGGUGGCCAACUAAGUCAGACGUGAAAUCCCUCAGCUUAACUGGGGAACUGCGUCUGAUACUGGAUGGCUUGAGUUUGGGAGAGGGAUGCGGAAUUCCAGGUGUAGCGGUGAAAUGCGUAGAUAUCUGGAGGAACACCGGUGGCGAAGGCGGCAUCCUGGACCAACACUGACACUGAGGAGCGAAAGCCAGGGGAGCAAACGGGAUUAGAUACCCCGGUAGUCCUGGCCCUAAACGAUGAAUGCUUGGUGUGGCGGGUAUCGAUCCCUGCCGUGCCGAAGCUAACGCAUUAAGCAUUCCGCCUGGGGAGUACGGUCGCAAGGCUGAAACUCAAAUGAAAUUGACGG
rnacentral:rRNA from 1 species